rnacentral:lncRNA from 1 species
UUUUUUUUUUUAAUACAAUUUCAAAAUAUUUGUUCUAAAAUAUGAGCAGACAACAUUUUCUAACUCAAUUAGUUCCCAAAGCAACUUACUUAUUUCUGGGGCAAACUGUGACUUAAUCAAAGAUUUAUAAUUAUAACAUAUUUAGACAGUUAUAUGACAUCACUGUUUAACAACUGUGUAAACUACACGGAGUAAGAGUUAGACCUGGUCACAUCAGUGGGAGCUGGGGAUGGAGGGCAACAUUCUGUCAUUGUCCUCUAAAGGAAAGGUCAGGGUCAGGCACUUGCCUCUUUGUGUCUUAGGUGAGGAAUGAGGGCAACUGUCAGCUGUCUCCAGGCAGGAACUGGCACAGCUGGCAAAAGGAGGAACUGACAGGUAAUGGAUAACAAACCAACGUGGAGUCAUGAGGUAUCUGGACCUGUGAGCCUCUGUUCUUGUCCAGUGAGUCUCCCAAGGUCUAGGAGAGGAUGUUAAAUUUCUAAUAUUAAUAUAGAAGUGGAUGCACUGGAUUAUAUCUAAUGAUAUCUGAUGCUAAUAUCUAAUAAAAACCUGAUAGAUGAGAGACUGAAGAAAAAAACAUGGGUACAAUUUAGCAUCACAGUGUUCCUGAUUUUUUAACAAAGUAUCUGGCAUUUUCAUUUUGUGUCAUUUGGAAGGCUCUGUCACACAAGGGUGUAGAACUAGUGGCUAGAAGCCAUAACUGGGUUGGGAGGGAACAACACCACCAGAUAAAGGGCAAGUUUGUAGGAAAGGUCCUUCCUUUACUUUGAGGGUACAUUUUAUUUUGUUUACUUUUUUGCUAUUAAAAGAUAUGAAUAAAAUUAACCAAGCCCAUUUGGAAUGUUGUAGGAGAGAUCCAGAAUGGGCACAUGUUCUCCCAACCCCAUCCAGAUCUUCCCUACUUUUGUCAGCAAGCAUCAUGGAAUAAACAGCACAGAAAGGGAACUCUCGGUAUUAUUUGGUGAUGAGAACAACUUACUUGUUUGUGGUUUGACUAACAGAAUCAAAUUAUAAGUGCAAGUCUGAAAGAUCCUUAAUUCAAUACAUAAAAAACUACAAAAGUGAGAAGUCCUC